ACGUUGAAACGCCGGUUUCCGUACGAUCACCAAAGUUAAGCAAGGUCGAGCCUGGUCAAUACCGAAAUGGGCGAUCGCUUAGGAAUACCAGAUACUGUAAG